ACGGCUCAGUAACACGUGGCUAAUCUGCCCUUAGGACGAGAACAACCCCGGGAAACUGGGGCUAACUCUCGAUAGGCGAAGAACACUGGAAUGUGUCUUCACCUAAAUAAUGCGGCGUUAUGCUCGUUGCAUCGCCUAAGGAUGAGGCCGCGGCCGAUCAGGUUGUUGGUGAGGUAAUGGCUCACCAAGCCUUUUACCGGUGCGGGCCGUGAGAGCGGGAGCCCGGAGAUGGGUACUGAGACAAGGACCCAGGCCCUACGGGGCGCAGCAGUCGCGAAAACUUUGCAAUAGGCGAAAGCCUGACAGGGCUAUCCCGAGUGCCAUCCGCUGAGGAAGGCUUUUACCCAGUCUAGAACGCUGGGGGAAUAAGGAGAGGGCAAGUCUGGUGUCAGCCGCCGCGGUAAUACCAGCUCUUCGAGUGGUGUGGAUGUUUAUUGGGCCUAAAGCAUCCGUAGCUGGCUAAGUCAGUCCCUUGUUAAAUCCACCGAAUUAAUCGUUGGAUUGCGGGGGAUACUGCUUGGCUAGGGGACGAGAGAGGCAGACGGUAUUUUCGGGGUAGGGGUGAAAUCCUAUAAUCCCGGGAAGACCACCAGUGGCGAAGGCUGUCUGCUAGAACGCGCCCGACGGUGAGGGAUGAAAGCUGGGGGAGCGAACCGGAUUAGAUACCCGGGUAGUCCCAGCUGUAAACGAUGCAGGCUAGGUGUUUGGACGGCCACGUGCCGUUCUAGUGCCGCAGGGAAGCUGUUAAGCCUGCCGCCUGGGGAGUACGAUCGCAAGAUUGAAACUUAAAGGAAUUGGCGGGGGAGCAC
rnacentral:rRNA from 1 species